CAGGAUGUUGGCUUAGAAGCAGCCAUCAUUUAAAGAAAGCGUAAUAGCUCACUGGUCGAGUCGUCCUGCGCGGAAGAUGUAACGGGGCUCAAAUCUAUAACCGAAGCUGCGGAUGCCAGUUUACUGGCAUGGUAGGGGAGCGUUCUGUAGGCCGAUGAAGGUGCAUUGUAAAGUGUGCUGGAGGUAUCAGAAGUGCGAAUGUUGACAUGAGUAGCGAUAAAGCGGGUGAAAAGCCCGCUCGCCGAAAGCCCAAGGUUUCCUACGCAACGUUCAUCGGCGUAGGGUGAGUCGGCCCCUAAGGCGAGGCAGAAAUGCGUAGUCGAUGGGAAACAGGUUAAUAUUCCUGUACUUGAUUCAAAUGCGAUGUGGGGACGGAGAAGGUUAGGUUAGCAAGCUGUUGGAAUAGCUUGUUUAAGCCGGUAGGUGGAAGACUUAGGCAAAUCCGGGUCUUCUUAACACCGAGAAGUGACGACGAGUGUCUACGGACAUGAAGUAACCGAUACCACGCUUCCAGGAAAAGCCACUAAGCUUCAGUUUGAAUUGAACCGUACCGCAAACCGACACAGGUGGGCAGGAUGAGAAUUCUAAGGCGCUUGAGAGAACUCGGGAGAAGGAACUCGGCAAAUUGAUACCGUAACUUCGGGAGAAGGUAUGCCCUCUAAGGUUAAGGACUUGCUCCGUAAGCCCUGGAGGGUCGCAGAGAAUAGGUGGCUGCGACUGUUUAUUAAAAACACAGCACUCUGCUAACACGAAAGUGGACGUAUAGGGUGUGACGCCUGCCCGGUGCUGGAAGGUUAAUUGAAGAUGUGCAAGCAUCGGAUCGAAGCCCCAGUAAACGGCGGCCGUAACUAUAACGGUCCUAAGGUAGCGAAAUUCCUUGUCGGGUAAGUUCCGACCCGCACGAAUGGCGUAACGAUGGCCACACUGUCUCCUCCCGAGACUCAGCGAAGUUGAAGUGGUUGUGAAGAUGCAAUCUACCCGCUGCUAGACGGAAAGACCCCGUGAACCUUUACUGUAGCUUUGCAUUGGACUUUGAAGUCACUUGUGUAGGAUAGGUGGGAGGCUUUGAAGCAGAGACGCCAGUCUCUGUGGAGCCGUCCUUGAAAUACCACCCUGGUGUCUUUGAGGUUCUAACCCAGACCCGUAAUCCGGGUCGGGGACCGUGCAUGGUAGGCAGUUUGACUGGGGCGGUCUCCUCCCAAAGAGUAACGGAGGAGUUCGAAGGUUACCUAGGUCCGGUCGGAAAUCGGACUGAUAGUGCAAUGGCAAAAGGUAGCUUAACUGCGAGACCGACAAGUCGAGCAGGUGCGAAAGCAGGACAUAGUGAUCCGGUGGUUCUGUAUGGAAGGGCCAUCGCUCAACGGAUAAAAGGUACUCCGGGGAUAACAGGCUGAUUCCGCCCAAGAGUUCAUAUCGACGGCGGAGUUUGGCACCUCGAUGUCGGCUCAUCACAUCCUGGGGCUGUAGUCGGUCCCAAGGGUAUGGCUGUUCGCCAUUUAAAGUGGUACGUGAGCUGGGUUUAAAACGUCGUGAGACAGUUUGGUCCCUAUCUGCAGUGGGCGUUGGAAGUUUGACGGGGGCUGCUCCUAGUACGAGAGGACCGGAGUGGACGAACCUCUGGUGUACCGGUUGUAACGCCAGUUGCAUAGCCGGGUAGCUAAGUUCGGAAGAGAUAAGCGCUGAAAGCAUCUAAGCGCGAAACUCGCCUGAAGAUGAGACUUCCCUUG
rnacentral:rRNA from 1 species